rnacentral:sRNA from 1 species
UAUCUUAUCAAAAUGUAGUUAGCUAAUAAAACAAACCCCAUUUUUCUAGUUUACAGGUUUUUAUACAAAAGAGAAAUGUAUACACGGAAGUGAAGUGAGAGCUCACCUCUUAUGCCACUAUUGGAGAAGAAAUAAUCACUCGUGCCAUUCUUAUGUUUGGAAUAUUAUUAUUGAUUUUUAUUUAAAUCGAAAAAUGAGGAAAGGAUGAAAAACCCUUGCGAAACCACAAAAACUACAAGAAAACUUAAUUUGUUGGGCUCGGGUCCAAAAAAAAAUGUAAAUACUCGGCCCAGUUGUAUUAUUUACAGAAAAAACCUAAGUAAAAACCUAAGUUCCCCCUUUUCACUUCUCGACUUCUUCCUCUUCUCUCCGUCGUCGUCUUCUCUCGUCUCCGACGAUACCACUUUCACCGGAAAAAUCAAUCUCUUCUAUUCUUCUUUCUUCUCCGUUUUCGUUCGUCUUUGUCUCUUUCAUAUCCGCAAAUUUAUUUUCCAAUGGCUAGAGUAAAAGACUCAUCUGGAGAAUAUGAAUCAACUAGGGUUGAAUCGACCGGCGAAAUUCCUCCAUCAGUCGACGAGACCGCCGCCGAGAUUCCCCAAAGAGAUGAAGAAGGCGCAGAGCUUCUUACAACAGAAGAGGAAGCCGGAGAAAUUCAGCCUACAACCGGCGAUUGUGACGCCGCCGAUUUGGGUAAUUCAAACGCCGUCGCAUGGGAAUCAAAUGACGAUCUUUCAGACCCAAAUGCCGAUUCUUGUGCAGAAGAAGAAGAGGCAACGAAUGCAGUUGUUCAACAUGAUGAUGGAGCAAAUAAGGUAUGAUAGAAGACCGUUAUUAUUUUGAUUAGGCUCGUUUUAAGAUAUUAUGCAUGCAUUGGUAAAUGAUUGGAUUUGUGAAUGGUGCUUCAGAUAAAACAAGUAGUACAACUAGGUCGUAAAUUUGUGAAUGGUCAUUCAGGAACAAGUAGUACAACUAGGUAGUUAAUGUGAAAUUGAAAGUAUUUUGAAUUGAAUAUGCAGGAUGAUGGUGAUGAUGAUAACCUGCCGCAGAAUAUGCAGGAUGGUGAUGAUGAUCUUCAGCCGCAGAAUAUGCAGGAUGAUGAUGAUGAUGAUGAUGAUAAUCAACCAUUGCCGCCAGAAGUUAUGUACUUUGAUCCAACUACCUACACGAAGGUGUGUAAGAUAGGAACGAGGUGUCAGUUGGUACAAACAGUGGAAUUUAUAGAGACUUUGGAUGCAGAACUGAAGUGGUUUAGGAAUCAUGACCAAUUUAAGCACAUAUUCCACAUGCCUAAGGAGCCCAAUCACAUGAUUCAAGGCAUGUGGAUGCUUAUGGUUCGCACGGCUAAGACAGAAUUGGAGAGAGAGUGUUGGUUUGUUGUCAAUGGAGUACCUAUAGGGU